GUUCUGGGUGAGAAAAGGUGUUAGUCGUAGGAAGAACUUUUCCCCUGGAACCUGAGAGCAGAGAGAAGAGGAGCAGAGACAUUUGCGUCUUGGUCAAGUGAGUGGGAGAGAGUCUUCUGCAUGCCUAUCUGGGAGGUCCAAGACCCUCAUGCAGGACCAGGGUCAGACAGAGGUGGUUCUUGGGUGAAAGGGCGAGAUGGGGCGAGCCCUGAGCGUGCUGCUGUUCGUUGUGAUUCAGCCCUUACUUAAAGGAAAGCUGCCCCCUCCAAGGAAUGUCUCACUAAUUUCUGAAAACUUCAACUACUUUUUGCUGUGGGAAUCGGACCUAUCUGCAGGAAAUGAUCAUUAUGAAGCUGAGAUUAUUUCGUACGGGCGACGAAACCUGACUAAAAUGGAAGGCUCCAAGGAAAUUGUUUCGGGAUCCUCGUGGAAAUGUCAACUGCAUCUUCCGGACAUUCAUGGAUUGUACUGGGUCAGGGUGCGAAUGGUCAGUGGAACCAGGGUAUCCAAUUGGACUCUCUCCAAUGAGUUA
rnacentral:lncRNA from 1 species